rnacentral:lncRNA from 1 species
GAAAUUGUCAAGUGCAUUCAUGGACAGCAGACAGGGAGGACCAACAACCUGCAUGCUUCAUCUCGAGGCUGCAGGAGGCAGUGUGGUUUCCGGAGGCAUAGCAAAUGUAACCCUGAAAUCCUGAAAACAGGGAGGCCAGGCUGGACCGGCAGAUGGCAACAACUAACUUCACAGGCGUGGAGAGCGAAAGACACCCUUAGCAUCACUUCUGCUGUGUCCUUUCAGUCACAGCGAGUCACCAAGUCCACCCAGACUGAAGAGGUGUGUUCCAAGGUUUCAUCAGUUCAUGGUGGGAGAGGCAAAGCAUUUGUGAUCGCUCCUAAUCCACCACCACAAGAAGGCCCACUUUCUCCCCUCGGGAGAAGCCUUCCUUCAUCAGGAGGCAGCUCUGGCCUUUGGAGAAGAGGAGGAAAGAGUCCUGUAAGAUGUGACCUGGGGCUGCUGACCGGCCAGGGUGGGCUCAGCCACUGUCCUCCGCACCCCCAGCAUGUUCACAAGCAGACACCCCAGCCAGACUCCUCUGUGCUUCCAGGACCUGCAGGUUGUAGGCCAACAGCUCUGCAAGCUGUCUGGCCCUUGAGGCUCUGGUUCCCUGUGACCUCUAGUGGCCUAGAUUCCCCACCUUCCUCACUGCUGAGCCCAGCUCAAAACUCCCCCAGGCCUCUAACCACAGGCAACUCCAGCCCCCUCCCAGGCUAGCUGGCCAAGAGAACAAAAACUUUGCUUUUGUCUGCUCACCAGUCCAAGGCCUAACCUGCUUGACUUGCUUGUGGUCUGUGUUGACUCACUGUCCUCUCCUCCCACGCUCCUCCUUCAUCUCCUCCAUGGCCAUUUCCCGUGUCCUACUCAGUAGGAACCCCAACUCCCAGCCCCACAUUUACACCUAACCCUUGUCUGUGGGUUCCUCUGCCAGUCACAGACUUCCUGAUAUCCCUUUUGUGAGCACUUGUGAUGCUCUUUACCAUAACAAAGGAGAGUUUGAGAUGAAGGGAACUUCUGGUACAUACACUACCAAAGAGAGCCCGCUUUAAAACACCCGAGAAUUAAGAAUGAGCCAUUUCCUAGCCUAGAGUCCUUAUGUCAUUCAGGAUUUUAUUUUAAAGAUUUUAUUCAAAAAAUAAAUAAAGAUUUUAUUCAUUUAUUCA